rnacentral:rRNA from 1 species
UACGUAGGCAGCAAGCGUUGUUCGGAGUUACUGGGCGUAAAGGGUGUGUAGGCGGUUCUUUUAAGUUUGGUGUGAAAUCUCCCGGCUCAACUGGGGAGGGUGCGCCGAAUACUGAGGGACUAGAGUACGGGAGAGGAAAGUGGAAUUCCUGGUGUAGCGGUGAAAUGCGCAGAUAUCAGGAGGAACACCAAUUGCGAAGGCAGCUCGCUGGGACGUUACUGACGCUGAGACGCGAAAGCGUGGGGAGCAAACAGG